rnacentral:rRNA from 1 species
AUUGAACGCUGGCGGCAUGCUUUACACAUGCAAGUCGAACGGUAACAGGCCGCAAGGUGCUGACGAGUGGCGAACGGGUGAGUAAUGCAUCGGAACGUGCCCAGUCGUGGGGGAUAACGCAGCGAAAGCUGUGCUAAUACCGCAUACGAUCUAUGGAUGAAAGCGGGGGACCGUAAGGCCUCGCGCGAUUGGAGCGGCCGAUGUCAGAUUAGGUAGUUGGUGGGGUAAAGGCUCACCAAGCCAACGAUCUGUAGCUGGUCUGAGAGGACGACCAGCCACACGGGGACUGAGACACGGCCCAGACUCCUACGGGAAGCAGGAGUGGGGAAUUGUGGACAAUGGGCGCAAGCCUGAUACAGCAAUGCCGCGUGCAGGAAGAAGGCCUUCGGGUUGUAAACUGCUUUUGUACGGAACGAAACGGCGAGCUCUAAUACAGUUUGCUAAUGACGGUACCGUAAGAAUAAGCACCGGCUAACUACGUGCCAGCCGCCGCAGUAA